AUUGGGGCUGGGGGACCUAUGGACGUUGGAUAUAGAGACCCUGACGUGGAACAAACCCAGCCUCAGUGGGGUGGCCCCACUGCCACGCAGCCUGCACUCGGCCACCACCAUCGGCAACAAGAUGUACGUGUUUGGGGGCUGGGUGCCCCUGGUGAUGGACGACGUCAAAGUGGCCACACACGAGAAGGAGUGGAAGUGCACCAACACGUUGGCCUGCCUCAACCUGGGUGAGGAAACCCAAAAUGGCACCGAUU